CGCUCACCUUGCUUGACACACUUGAGCCGGAGGGGGUCCUUGCAGUGCUUGAUCACCGCCAGCACGUCCCUGAUGGUGAGCCCCGCCACCGGGGUCUCGUUCACUUCCAGCAGCAGCUCCUCCGACGCCAACUUGCUGCCGCUCUCAUAGACCACCUUGCCGGGCUUCACCUCCCCCAGAGUUCGCAGAACCCCCUCUCAGAGGAGCGGAAAGUUGGAGAGCUGGAGGCAGCGCGCCCUGACGGCCGGGAGAGGUGGCGGCGGCACAUUCCCCGGUGCAGGCCCAGCGGGGGCGCGGGGCGCACACCCCGACUACGAGGAGGGCGAUUUGAGUGGCGAACCGGCUCAACUUUUACUGUGAGAGCAAAGGAAGAAAGAGGUUCCUGGAAAGGGGUGAGGGGCGCGCGGAAGGUGGCGUAGAGCGGCCUCCUCAGGGAAAUACAGAAUUUAACCCAAGAACUGCGACGAAGAAAGGGGCACCCCCGAGCCUCAGGGGCUUGUACCCAGAGAACUUUAAGAUGACUUGACCCGACAUUCCCUGCUCCGGAGAGCAAAAGAAGGACCUGAGGGCGAACACAGCGCGUGAUGGGGCUGGAACGCCGCUCGCUGCCACCCGGACUCUUCCUGUCACCAACUUUGCAGCCAGAAGGAAAGCCUAGAGCACAACUGAAGAAGAAGAAGUCAUCUUGCCCACAUGAUUUGACUAGCAUGAAGAUAAAGGCUUUCCUGCGAGGUUAAUGGAGCAAAAUGACAGAAGGGACUUAGACUCCCUUUCUUCGGACUUCUUGUUUUGUGAGGAAAAUAAAAAUGCUAUUACAAGGUCAAACAGUUAUUGGCUUAUAUUUCAUGCAUCUAAAUACAUCACAAUUCAUAUAACAUAUAAAUUGUAACAGCAGUCUUUUGAAAUUUUUGAAAUUGAGAUAACAUUGGCUAACAACACUGAAUAUGAUUAAGUGAAAUAGAUUCAUGUAUCUUCAGAUGUAUGUUACCACAGCACACCCACCAUCAAAACACCAUAAUCUCCCUCCAUAGACCACUGCUCCCCCUCCCACCUUUGUUUACAUUUCCCAUCUCUCCCCUUCUAGUAGGCUCAACUCUACAGUCAUAUCUUAUGGGUUUUGAUUUAGUUUUAUCUGUUCUUUUUUCGUUUUCUUUAUAUUCGCAUAAGAGUGAAAAUAUUUUGAAGUGACAAGAUUUCAUCUCUUUAUAGCUGAGUAGUAUCCCAUUGUGAAUAUGUACGACGUCUUCUUAAUCCACUUAGUGGUCCUUGGGCAUUUUGGUGGCUUCUAUAAUUUGAAUAUUGUAAAUAGCGCUGCAGUUAACAUAGGGGUGCAUAUAUACCUUUGUGUUACUGUUUUUGCAUUCUGUGAUUAUGUAUCAAGGAGUAGAAUUGCUAGAUAAUAUGUUAUAUCUAUUUUUAGUAUUUGGAGGAAUGACCACAUAUUGUUUUCCAUAAGGACUGGACCAGUCUACAUUUCCACCAAUAGCAUACAAAGUUUACUUUUUCUCCAAACCCCUGCUAACACAUUUCUGGGUUUUUGAUGUGAGCCAUUCCUCACAAAUAUGAAUUGGUAUAUAAUGUUAGUUUUGACUGCAUAUCCCUGAUAAGUAGUAUUAAAUUUUUUUUGUUUAUGUGCCUUUGGUCAUCUGUGGGUAUUCUGUGACGUGUCUAUUUAGCUUUUCUUCCUAUCUUUUGAUUGGGUUGUUUGUUUUCUUUUUCUUGAUAUAUGAAUUCUUUGUAGAACUUGAGUAUUAUCCAUACAUUGGAUGUAUGAUAUACAAUUAUUUAUCCCAUUUGGUAGAUUGUCUUUUGUUUUAUGACAGUUUUAUUUUACUGUGAAAAAUCUUUUUAGUUUGAUAUAGUCUCAUUUGUUUAUUUUUGCUUUCCUUUCUCUUGCCAUUAAGUGCUCAAAGUCAUCCCUGAGGCCACUGAUUUGGAAAAUGUUGCCUAUGACUUCUCCUAUGUAUUUUGUAAUUUCAGGACUUACAUCUAAUUCUUUAAUCCAAUUUGAGUCCAUUUUUGUGAAUUAUAUGAGAAAAUCGUCUAGUUUCAUUUUAUUGCAUGUGAUAGUCUAAUUUUCCCAGUGCCAUUUGUUGAAGAAACUUUCCUUUUUUCCACUGAUAUACUUGAGAUCUUUGUCCUAGAUUAACUGUAAUCAUAUAAGUUUGGGUUUAUUUCUGGAUGAUCAGAUCUAUUCCAUUGGUCUGUGAGUCUAUUUUUAUGCCAAUACCAUUGUUUGUUUUACUUCCUUCUUUGAUAGGUCAUUAUUUGCAUAUAAGAGUGCAAUAGACUUUUACAUAUUGACUUUGUACCCUUUAACUUUUCUGUUUUAAUGUUCCUAAUAGUUUUUUAGUGUAGUAUUAGGAUUUUAUAUGUAUAUUAUUUUGUCUUCUGCAAGUAGUGAUAGUAUUCUCUCCCAAUUUGGAUAUUUUUUCUUUCUCUUGUGUAAUUACUCUAGCUAAUAUGUACAAUACUAUGUUGGGUAGUAAUGGUGAGAGUGAACAUCCCUGUCAUGUCCCUAAUCUUAGAGGAAAAGCUUUCAGUUUUUCAACAGUGAGUAUGAUGGUAGCUGGGUUUGCCACAGAAGACUACUAUAUUGAGGUAUGUCCCUGCUAUGCCCAUUUUGGGGGAUAGUUUUUAUAAUAAAUGAAUGCUGAAUCUUAUCAAAUAUCAUUUCUGCAAUUGUUGAUAUUAUUAUAUGAUUUUUGUCUUUCCUUUUGUUUAUAUGGUGAAUUACAUUGAUUUAUUUGCAUAUGUUAGACCAUCCUUGCAUCCCUGGGAUAAAUUCCUGGUCAUGAUGUAUGAUCCUUUUAUUAUUGAAUUCAUUUCACUAAGAUGUUGAGGUUUAUUGCAUACACCUUAAGGAACUAGAGAAAGAAGAGCAAAUGAAAUAAAAAUUCAUCAGAAGAUAUUAAUUAAAAAAAAGAGUGAAAAUAUACAAAAUAAAAAUCUAAAAGACAUUUCAAAAUAUCUGUGAAAAUAGUAGCUGGUUCUUUUAAAAAUAAUAAGCAAAAGAGAUAAAACUCUAGCUAGAAUCACUAAGAAAAACAAGAAAACUCUAGUAAGUAGAAUCGGAAAGGGGAGAAGUUACAGCAGACAUCACAGAAAUACAGAGAACCAGAAGACACUACUGUGAGCAUGUUAUGCCAGCAAAUUGGAAAAUCUGGAUAAAUGCACAGAUUCUUAGACACAUACAACCUUCUGAGACUGAAUCAGGAAAAAAUACAAAAUCCGAACAAACCAUUUAUAAAAAAGGAGAUUGAAACAAUAAUCAAACAGUAAUCAAAAGUCUCCCCAAAACAAAGACCCAGGACCAGAUGGUGUCACUAGUGAGUUUUGCCAACCCUUCAAAGAGAAACUCACGCUUACCCUUCUCAAACUGUUCCAAAAAAUUAAAGAAAAUGAAUGCUUCCCAACACUUUAAAAGUAUGCAUUUUAAAUGAUUAUUCUCAUGGAUUAAGGCUUAAAGUUUAAGACUUACAGACAUGUAACCAAUCAAAUCUCAGAAACAUUAUAGUUCUUUAAGUAUUUGUGAUCCCCUAGAGUGAUAUAUAAAUUGAAUGCAAUUCCCACAAAAAUCCCAGUAUAUUUUUCAAAGAAAUAGCGGAUAUUGUUGAAUUUAUCUGUAACCACCUAAAGCCUUGAAUUGGAGAGAAACCCUGAGAAAAAGGGAGAAAUAACAGUAUCAUACCACCGGACUUAAAACCUUACUAUAAAGCAAUCAUAUUAAAAACAGUAUAAUAUUGGUACAAAAAACAGAUAUAUGGGCCAAUGGAACAGAGUAAAAGUCUAGAAAUAAUUCCAUUUACAUACUAGCAUCUGAUCUACGAUAAAGCAUCCAAGACGAUAAGAUCAGGAAAAGACAGUCUCCUUAGUUAAUGAAAAAUUGAAAGCCACACAUAAAACAAUGGCAUUGGGUUAUUUGCUUACACCAUAC